CUACGCCAUAUCAACCAUAUGUUUCUCCAUCACCAACUCCACCACCACACUAUUUGCAUGAUGGCAAAAAUGGGAGCACCUGCUGGUCUGCAAGCUCUUGACUGAAGGGGCUAUUUGAAGAGACACUGUGGGAUACUGACAGGAAUGCCAAGGGAGAGCAGCUGGAAAAUUAUCCUCUAAUUGAUUCUGGGGUGCCAAUUAUGACUCUGUGCUCGGCAAAGUUCUUGGCAGCGUCUCCUUCACUGACUUAAACACAAAGACUAAUUGGAUUUUAAUAAGUAAUCAUGCUUCAAGGAACAGGAAUUUUUAGCAGUGUUGUGUCAACUGAUUCACUAGAAAUACAUAGGAGGCUCUACACUUAUGACAAAAAAUUACAUCUCCCACAACUCUGUUUUAUUCAUCAUGCAAACAUAAUAAAUUACAAUUAAUAGUCGAGAACAAUUGACAGUAUUACGGCAUGUGUACUCCUUUUUUUCCAUUGCUCUAUCUUCAGAUAGGCCUAUGAUAAAAACAUUGUAAAUAAGCCUGGGCAAAAAUUUUCCAUCUAACCCGUUUUUCAAUAGAAAAUAGAGUUUUCAGCUAAACAUAUUAAAAAAAAAAAUACAUGAAGCCCAAAAUAUUUUAACCUGGAUACCUUGCUGCAGUGCCUCAUGGGAGUUUUAUUUUGGUGUCUUCAUGUCCCCAUUCUCCUCUAUGGGCCAAGUUCUCCUGCAGGACUACAACUUCUGUGAGACCCCACAAUCAGAGACUCCAACAAUGCAGACGCCUCCCUCUUACCAUGGAGGGAGACUGUGGUGCAUCAGGGGAGAUGUAAUGUGACCAGAAAGUCUGGCCUAUAGAGAAAAAUAGGAGCAUGAACUGCAACUCCCAUGAGGCUCCUUGGCAAGAUUUAUUAAACAAAAAUUUUUGGUUUUUAGGCAAAAAAAAAAUAUUGACUUUUGAUUUUUUGCCAAAG